rnacentral:lncRNA from 1 species
GAUGAUAUGGCAUGGCUUUACUGGUGAUCGCUUAUAGCAGAGGAGAGUGAAUCAAUAUAUGAGUUUGGGAUUUGGAUAUUAGGGAGUAAUGAUACGGUGCAGGUGAGGGCUUGCCCUCCUUUCCAAGCAGGGGCAUUUCCCCAGCCAUGUUAGGAGGCACUGUACUCGCCGAGAACAAGCAGAGUUUAUUUGUUCGAUGAUUAUCCUAUGAUGACUCAUGGUUGCUGUUAUGGUGCCAUCUACUAAC